CAGCAAUCAGCAGUGCACCGCCGCACUUCCCUUCCCACUUCCGGCCGACCGCCACGACCUGCAGCAGCGAACCAGCAGCAGCCAAUCAGCGGCAGCGACCAGUUCAGUCCAGAGAUCAAAUGGACGACUCGAUGAAGCAAUUACAAGAAAAGCUUAUUGAGGUUGAAAUUGAAGGUGAAAGUCUUUUAUUAGCUCGGCAACAGUUAGUUGAAAAUGAUAGAUUAAGGAAUGGGAACAGGGAAGCAUUAACUGCACUAAGGAGGAGGGCUAAGACGACAAAAACAAGUGUUCCUACACCUUUUGAGUCAAUAAUGAGGGAUGUUGAAUCAAGACCAUUGGUGAAAGAGGUUUGUUCAACCUGCGGUAAUCAUGAUUCAAAGGAGAAGACUUGGGUCAUGUUCCCAGGAACUGAUGUAUUUGCCAAUAUUCCUUUUCAUGCUGCUCAUACCAUUCUGGAGAAAGAUCAAACUCUACUCAAUUAUGAAGCUAAUAAACUUCAGAGUGUUGUAAAGGAGAAGUCUUUAUGGAUAUCAGAUCAAGGAGUUCUUGCUGAUACGAUUAGUCCAGGUGUCCUCAGAUCAAUGGUGACCUUAAGUGACAAACCAAAGAUUGCGCAGAAUGAGUGAUCAACUUCACUAAUAAUUGCAUAUGGUGGGUAAAUCCUUGUACUUCCUACCUCUUACACAUGUGCGCAUUCAUAGCUUAAACACCAGCAUCUCUGUAUUAAGGGAGUAUCCAUCCACUUGUAGCAUUUGCAUCCGUCAAGAAACAAGUUGUAGUGUGAAGCCUGUGCUAACAGGAACGGAACUGCUGGAUUGUUUCUUCACUUCGCCAGAUUCCUUUUCGAAAAAGCUGAAGUUAUUGCAGAUUUGGGUGAUUCAUGAUCAAAUUACCAGAGAGGAUACAAAUUACGUUCUCUUAGUUCUGUUAAUAACAUUAGAAUCAAUCUUCAUGGUAACUUAAAUGUGUGUGCCACAGUUGAGAGUAAAAUGGACAAGUGUGUACUGACUGUUAUUCGAAGGGACCUCCUAUAUUACAUACGUGGGGAAAAAAAAAUACGAAUUUCUGAACUGCUUCAGAAAGGGGAGAAUUAUAUUUCUUUUUUAAACAGCAUUGGUAUGACUUGGUCUCAGAGAAAAUGGUCAACUGUGUCAUAAUGUUGGAGGGGACCUCCAUUGGAGAUAAGUUCAUCUAUAAAUGCACCCAAGGAAGUAGUUUUAGAACAAAUUCUUAAAAGGUAAGUUUAUAAGUUGGUUAAACUUAUUCAUUACUAGCAUUCAGGGUGUCAAAAUGAGCUCAAAUAUAAGUAAUAUAUUCAGAAUUUUAUGGGUUGGGUUCAAGAUAAUUUGAAUGAGUUCAAUAUCAACUCAUUCAAGCCUUAAUUCAUUUUUAAAGAAUCUUGAAUUGAGCUUGAUUUAAUCCCUUAUUUCAACUUGAUAGACUCUUUAUUUGUGUUAGUGUAAUGUAUG